rnacentral:rRNA from 1 species
UACAGAGGGUGCGAGCGUUGUUCGGAAUUAUUGGGCGUAAAGGGCGCGUAGGCGGUGCGGUAAGUCACCUGUGAAAUCUCCUGGCUCAACUGGGAGUCUGCAGGCGAAACUGCCGUGCUGGAGUGUGGGAGAGGUGAGUGGAAUUCCCGGUGUAGCGGUGAAAUGCGCAGAUAUCAGGAGGAACACCGAUGGCGAAGGCAGGUCUCUGGGCCACUACUGACGCUGAGAAGCGAAAGCGUGGGGAGCGAACAGG